rnacentral:misc_RNA from 1 species
CGUUAAUGACAGUUUUAUUCAAUCCUUAUCCAUGCUUGGGGGGCACUGCUUGGUGUGGUGGUUCAAUCUUGGUGCAGUGGUUCAAGUUCUUGGCCUGCAACAGGGUAUUGAGUGAACUGUUUAAUGAAAAAUGCAAAAAUAUGGAAGGGUAGGACUCAAGAGGUCUUCAAAUAGACAAAGGAAAACUUAUGAUGGUUAAAAUACAAGGAAGAUGAGUAGAAUACCUUUUUAUUCUCCAAAAGAAAAUAUUCUAGAAAUGUCCAAGUCCAAAUUCUCCUAGCCCCUAGGAGGUUAAUUUAUAAGGAAAGAUCAGUUUUCUUGUUACCAGGGCUUUUGGAAAACCUGAACCUUCUGAAAAAAACAGAAUGUAAGAAGUUGGAAACCAUGAAAUUAGUAAAAGCACUGCUUUGUAGAGAGUAGAGAUUCUAUAGAUAUAAGGAUUAACAUUAGGAUAGGAAGUAUCUCCUUGUUAUAUAUCUUUCCACAAAUGAAUAUAAGAACCAUUUUUAACUUUAUAUUUAGAAAAGCACGAAAAAAAAGAGUAAGGUACCCAACAAAUGAACUUCCAAAGGUUUGUGUGAGUGAAAUUAGCUCCUCUUUUGGCAUCCCAUCCAUUUUCUCAUGAGCAAUGCGUAGUUGCUUACUCUAAUUUGCCAAGUGAAAGCAUCAUAACCACUUUCCAACCACAUCAAUCAUCAGUGUAACGAUUUUCACAGAAACCAAUCCCCUUUGAGUUUUAGGUUUGGACACUAUUUUCUAGAAUCAAAUAUGUGGUUUCAACUUGAACCUUCUGAUUUCACUGACUAUUUCUUGUACUCAAAAUUUUCACUCAAAUGUAAAAUCUAUACCUUUCUGUUAUGACUAAUGAGAAUAAGGGUGUUGAAAAUAAA